GUCAGGAUUACUGGGGCAGAGGUGUCAUUAACCCCUCCACUACCAGCCCUCUCCCCGGAUCCGCUCUCCCUCUGGGGCUGACACUGCCCUCCAGUCCCUUCUUCAGGCUCUUUCCAGCAGUGAAGGUGCAGUGGUGAGACUGCCUCCCAACUGUCCCAGAUCCGGUGGGACAGUCCCAGAGUUUGGUGGUUUUCCUGCAGUCCCAGAACGGCUGAGGUUCCUACAAUAUAGGAUCCGCUCAGUGGAGAUCCUCUAUAUAAGAUCCUUCUCCUGAUUGACCCAUCAAGGAUGGAUAGAGACAGAGACAAGAUGGCGGAGAGUAUAAUAAAUCUCACCCUAGAGAUCCUCUUCCGGCUUACUGGAGAGGACUACACAGUAGUGAAGAAGACCUCUAGUGAGUGCUGUCAGGACCCUGUUCCUGAAAGAUGGGGAAGAACCCUGAGCCCAAUCAUGGGGCCUACACCUCACCCCCUGAUACAUGAGGCAAUCAAUAGAGAGAAGAUCCUAGAACUCACCAACAAGAUGAUUGAGCUGC